AACGAACGCUGGCGGCAUGCCUAACACAUGCAAGUCGAACGAGACCUUCGGGUCUAGUGGCGCACGGGUGCGUAACGCGUGGGAACCUGCCCUAGGUUCGGAAAUACCUCCCGAAAGGGGUGCCAAUACCGGAAAAUGUCCUCGGACCAAAGAAUUAUCGCCUUUGGAUGGGCCCGCGUUGGAUUAGCUAGUUGGUAGGGUAAAAGCCUACCAAGGCGACGAUCCAUAGCUGGUCUGAGAGGAUGAUCAGCCACACUGGGACUGAGACACGGCCCAGACUCCUACGGGAGGCAGCAGUGGGGAAUAUUGGACAAUGGGCGAAAGCCUGAUCCAGCAAUGCCGCGUGAGUGAUGAAGGCCUUAGGGUUGUAAAGCUCUUUUACCCGGGAUGAUAAUGACAGUACCGGGAGAAUAAGCUCCGGCUAACUCCGUG
rnacentral:rRNA from 1 species